rnacentral:tRNA from 3 species
GGGGAUAUGGCGAAAUUGGUAGACGCUACGGACUAAAUCCGUCGACUUUAGAAAUCGUGAGGGUUCAAGUCCCUCUAUCCCCA